GAUGAACGCUGGCGGCGUGCCUAAUACAUGCAAGUCGAGCGAAGCGGGGACGGGUGAGUAACACGUGGAUAACCUCCUAUAAGACUGGGAAAACUUCGGGAAACCGGAGCUAAACCGGAUUCAUAUAGAUGGACACGCGCUGCAUUAGCUAGUUGGUAGGGUAACGGCUUACCAAGGCAAAGAUGAAAAGCCGACCUGAGAGUGAGAUCGGCCACACUGGAACUGAGACACGGUCCAGACUCCUACGGGAGGCAGCAGUAGGGAAUCGUCCGCAAUGGGCGAAAGCCUGACGGAGCAACGCCGCGUGAGUGAUGAAGGUCUUCGGAUCGUAAAACUCUGUUAUUAGGGAAGCGGUACCUAAUCAGAGAGCCACGGCUAACUACGUGCCAGCAGCCGCGGUAAUUC
rnacentral:rRNA from 1 species